CCAGGUGGUGGUCCUCAAAAUGGAAGCACUCCCCGUGGUCUGCCUGGAAAGUGCUUGCCAUUUUGUGUGUCACUGUCUGA
rnacentral:pre_miRNA from 12 species